UACGGAGGGUGCAAGCGUUGUUCGGAAUCACUGGGCGUAAAGCGCGUGUAGGCGGCCUUUUAAGUCUGAUGUGAAAGCCCGGGGCUCACCCCCGGAAGUGCAUCGGAUACUGGGAGGCUCGAGUACCGGAGAGGAGGGUGGAAUUCCUGGUGUAGCGGUGAAAUGCGUAGAUAUCAGGAGGAACACCGGUGGCGAAGGCGGCCCUCUGGACGGAUACUGACGCUGAGACGCGAAAGCGUGGGGAGCAAACAGG
rnacentral:rRNA from 1 species